GAUCAUGGCUCAGGACGAACGCUGGCGGCGUGCUUAACACAUGCAAGUCGAACGGAAAGGUCUCUUCGGAGAUACUCGAGUGGCGAACGGGUGAGUAACACGUGGGUGAUCUGCCCUGCACUUUGGGAUAAGCCUGGGAAACUGGGUCUAAUACCGGAUAGGACCGCGCCAUGCAUGUGGUGUGGUGGAAAGCUAUUUGCGGUGUGGGAUGGGCCCGCGGCCUAUCAGCUUGUUGGUGGGGUGAUGGCCUACCAAGGCGACGACGGGUAGCCGGCCUGAGAGGGUGUCCGGCCACACUGGGACUGAGAUACGGCCCAGACUCCUACGGGAGGCAGCAGUGGGGAAUAUUGCACAAUGGGCGCAAGCCUGAUGCAGCGACGCCGCGUGGGGGAUGACGGCCUUCGGGUUGUAAACCUCUUUCACCAUCGGCGAAGCCUUCAGCUUUUGUUGGGGGUGACGGUAGGUGGAGAAGAAGCACCGGCCAACUACGUGCCAGCCG
rnacentral:rRNA from 1 species